GUCUCCAACAUCCAUGAUAACUUUCUACUCGAAGAACAUAAUAUAUUUCAGUUGAUCGUGUGGGUUGGGGCACAGGGGAAGUUAUGACAAAGUUAUCAGUAAAGUCAAGCUAGGGGUUAAAAAUAAUUGGACUUGGGAAUAUGGCCAUCAUUCAGCCCUCAUUUUAAAAUCAUGUAGUAGCUCCACUGUGAGUAGUGGCAAACCUACUCAGGCAGUUUCCUUAAUAAAUGUGGACGUCGAAAUUUAUAACAGGAAAUAUAGACAGGAAGAGCACACAGAUAAAAUUUGUAUUUUCUUAGUGAAAGUAAAACAUUACCAGAUGGUAGCAAGAACAAUAGUGACACUGCCUCAUUUGUGUUCUCAGUAUAACGGGAAAGAAUGUUUUAUAGAAUUUAAAAGAGCAAUCAAGUAUUAUGCAACCUAUGAAACUGAAAGUUUGGAUCAGCCACAUUAAUACUGAGGAGGUACCUGAGAUUUGGCUGUUUGACCAUUAUUUGGAGGGAAUCCUGAAAUGGCUGACUAAGUGUGUCCAAUUGUCUGGACUGAUAUUGGAGUCUGCCCUCGUUGUACUGUGCCAGGACCCCCAACCUGCCAAGCGAAGGCUAUCUUGCUUGAUGUAACUGAAGUUUGGAUGUCGGGCUUUUUUUUGGAUAAAGCCGGGUUUGAGAAGUCCUGCUCCAUCGUGUGGAGUCACCCUGCAGCCGGAAGUAGGCGGGGAUCCGACUUGAGACAACUUGGGGGUUAAGAGCAGAGCAAGAGGAGGCGGAGAUCGCUGUACAUCAGCUCCCGGCAAACAGCAGCGUUCAACCCGGCUCUGAAAUCCAACAAUGCUCUUCAAUCUGCUCAAAGUGGCGGUGCUCCUUCUGAGUGUGGAUUGCGAAGCGGCUGCCCGGAAUUCAGAAAAUAAGCGUAAGGAGUUGACAUAUGGCCAUGAAAUAUGUACAUACAAAGCCGACGGUGGGGAUUGCAAAGCUAUAAACAAAAGAUACUAUUUCAACAUAUUCACACAGAAAUGUGAAGCAUUUAUCUACGGUGGAUGUGGUGGAAAUGAAAACAACUUUGAAACGAUGAAAGAAUGUCUGGCCAAAUGUAAAGGAAAGGAUCGAAGAAAUCCUUGUCAGUUGGAAGCUGAUAGUGGACCAUGUCGAGGGCUGUUUCAUCGGUAUUUCUAUAAUAAGACGACUAAAAAAUGUGAACAAUUUAUCUAUGGGGGCUGCCUUGGAAACAAGAAUAAAUUCAGAACUGAAAAAGAUUGCCUAAAUGCAUGCCACAGGCCAAAACUUUUGCGAUCUUCAGAUCUUCCAAAUUUCUGUAUGGACACUGCAGACAAGGGUGAUUGUAAUAAAUCCAUAACUAAGUAUUUCUACAAUGAAUCCAUUGGCAACUGUCAGGCCUUUACUUACAGUGGAUGUGGAGGAAAUCGGAAUAAUUUUAAAACCAAGCAGCUGUGUCGUAAGACCUGCAGAAAAGAUGCUGCCUGACCGACUGAGCACUGUGCUGAUAGCAUUUUCUAUUCUUACCUCUGCUCUUAUGCUGCUUAAUACUGAAAAAUGAGGAACCAGAAGGCAAUAGUCCAGACAAUUGCCUGAAAACACAAGAAACCUUCAAAUUGAAAGGAAUCCGAUUGUCGUAGGACACCUUGCAAUCUCUUGGAAUUCAAUUUACUCUUAACCUGAAACUGUCACACUCUGCACUUUUUAAACCUCUUUUUUUAGAUUGUUUUCUUGUUUGCAAAAGUAGUGCUAGUGAACAGAGUAACAUGUUAUCAUAUCACCAGCUAACACCUGCAAACCUAUAUCCAACAUAAGGGGGCCAGUCCUGUGGGCAAUGUCAGAAAAAUGCAGUUGCUGUUGAACCUGAGAGAGUCUUGGUGCCAGGUGUAAUCGGAUGUGACAAAUUGUGAGGAUGUUUGCAGUGUCAACUUUGUAAAGGAAAAUGACACAUCUUUAUGGAAACUCAAAAUAUUCAACAAAUUUCAUAUUAACUUCAAGUGGAACUUUCUUCCUUCUUCGACAAAAAUUCAGUCUUGUCUUUACUGUCAGAGAGAAGGAUUUAUAGUGAAGUUAGACAUUUCAUUACAAAUUCCGUUACCACAUUAAUUGUCCAGCAAAAAAUGUUCUUAUUGAAUGCAGUAGUAUACAGGCGGCUCGUUAGCCCCGUAGGCUGGUUCGUAACGCAGAAUGAUGCCAAUAGCAUGGGUCCAGUACGUAGCUAAAGUCACCAUGAAGGUCUGCCUUCUCAACCUUGGCCCUUUCCCAAGGCACGGUGACCCUCAGGUUAACUCACCAUCAUUUGUCUCUCUAAUGAGAAGACAGCCCAAUGGUCCUCUGGAACUAUGGCAACUUUAGCAAAUCCUACUUAUAAUUCUGAUGCUUGGGAUUUAAUCAUUUGAUUGUAUAGUCCUUCACCCAGUCCCAUUCAGUUUAAUGUGCUUGAUAGCAUGAAUGCAUAAUAUCCUCAUGUUUUAUAAUUAGUUGUAAACUGAAUGCUCAUUACAUUCUUACUUAUUAGCUUACCACAUGGGUCCUUUUAUCUUUUAGAACAAUGAUAAAAUACUGAAGACCCAAUUCUCACUGCUACUGUACACUGGAAUAUUUCACAUUUAACAUUCAGGAUACCUUGACUUUGCAGGUAAUCAUAGGUAUAAUGUGCACUUUUCAGGACCAAAAAGUGACAGAAGUAAAUAAUGUUUGGCUUUUACUGUCAUUAUCUGUUGCAUUCUCCACGGCAAUGCCUCUACCAAAUUGAGUUCAUUUGUCAACCAAUCCACAAUCUCCUCUCACACAACAUAAUGGUUGAUUUUCCCCUUGAAUUGGUGUUCUUGUGAAUUGUCCUGAUGAGCACAAGACAAAAAGCUUCAACAAAAUGUGUCUUUAUAUCAGCAAUAGCAAGAAUUCUCUGGUAAUAU